rnacentral:misc_RNA from 1 species
GGAAGUAGGGACUGCAAGGGCAGGAACUCAGGAGGAAAUCUUAGGAAACACAAUCCUGGCAAAACAAUGAAAUACUGCAGUACCACAAAAAGACAAAAAGCCUUUAACUUGCAAUAAAAUCCAAUUAAAUGUCUUAAAUCUUUAUGUGAUAUUUAUUUCCUGAAUAUGGGCUGUCUAACAUGAAUUCAGCCGAUCAAAAUGACAGUCACAAGUGUUAUUUUUAGUUCCUUAACAUCCUUGAUUCUUGUCAUUUUUUAAGGUUUUGUCAAAGGGAUUUGAACUUUAAAAUAUUCAGGAACCUUAUCACACAAGUCCUUGACCAUUAUUUUUCAGGAUUCCAAUCCUGACUAUUUUCAUUCAACUAAGCGCAUGCAAUUUGCCAAGGUUCCCUCAAUGAGAUCUUGAAGAUCAGAUAGACAGAGAAAGUAAAGAGUGCUCUGGUGAAGAGUGUCCAAACUUCCCUCUGAUGUUAGAGGUUUUGUUCAGAUUGUUAGUUCUCAAUAUUACAGGUGCCUAGACCAAAUAAGGCAUCAGUAAUCAUUAUUACGAUGUCAUCUCUUUUUGGAUUGUUCUUUCACAUGGAGUAUUUAAUACAUGAAGUUUAACAAAUCUCUUAUGAUUUUUUUUAAAAAGCGUGCAAGAUCCCUCAUUAAUUCUUUCUGAGAGGUUCCAACCAGAUGAAAGAGAGAAAAUUUCUUUAGUUUUGUGCUUUCUUUCGGAUGGUUUGGGGUGUUUUGUUCGAGCACAAUGUUAAGGCUAGUAAAAAUCACUAUUGCCCAUCAUAGAAAUAGAUUUUUUUUUUCAGGUAUGCAGUCUUCCACGUCUAGUGUAUUUCAAGGAGUUUCAGUAGCAAGUAUAGAUUGACUGAACAGCCCUCGUACAUUAUAACUUAAACUUGUUAUAUUUUUGUUUCCUUCUCAUUCCUACUUAGAAUAAAACUUUCCCACUUGUGCUACUUAUCUUUUACAUGCUUUUGUUGUGAUUGUGGCUCUUAUUGUACAUCUAAAGCUCUGAGGGGAGGAAUCUGCACGGAGGUGCAGAGCACAAGGGACAAAUUUUCAUCUGACGGUAUUUAACUAUUUAUUUCAAUUUUUUUUCCAUUUACUUAAGGGGCAAUAUGGCCAUAAAAUGGAUGUAAACAAUAUGAUAGUGUUUCUAUCAAUCAAAGCCUCAAUGUGUGAUGGAGCAGCAACCAGUAGGAAACAUAUUCAAGAUGAGCAUUUAUUUUCAAAACAUGCUAGCAUAAAUUACUAAACUAACCUCUUUCUGAAGUAGGAGAGAACG